rnacentral:tRNA from 1 species
UCCCCUGUAGCUCAGUCGGUAGAGCGGUUGGCUGUUAACCAAUAGGUCCGAGGUUCGAGCCCUCGCGGGGGAGCCA